UAGGAGUUCAAACCUGUGCUGUCACUGGUUUAAAUGUAAUGAACACAAAUGUCUUUAUUUGUGCAGAUUACACCAGCAAAUAUUUUCCAGUACACAAAUAUAAAUUGGUGAUAUGUCUGAUAGUUAUGAGGUCAUUAAAAUUGCAGGAUGCCAUUUUAUUAAUACUACACACUAAUUCAUUUAUAUUGGUUGUAGUGGCAUAUUAUAUUGUAGACAAAAAUUGCCAUGAGAUUUUAAUAUUCUCGUACUGGUAUGGGAUGGCCCUUUGAAAUUUUCAAUUUGAUAAUGUGCUUGGUUGUUUAGUGUGAAACCUGAACGAGGUCUGAACACGUGACUGCAUUAGCUGCACAGGCAGAAAAUAGAAGUGCACCAUGCUUCAACAUGAUUGAGUAAAUGGGUAGUUUUAAUUCCCAGCUACUAUAAGACAUCCAGGUCUGUGCUGUUUCGUGUUUAUCGUGCUGUGUUUUUUCAUUGUUUUUACUUUUUAGUUCAAUGUUCGAAAGCCCAUUUAGUUGACAGUUGAUACGUUGAAGCCUGGCCUAUAGUGUAAGCGUAAUCAUUUGGCUUAGGCAAAUCGCAGUAUUAGAAACGUGAAGAAUGAUAAGGGCCGUGUAUACUUUUUUUGUUUUAGGUCUGUCUGUAUUUUUUUAUUUUUUAUUUUUUUUUUUUUUUUAAAUCUCAGAAUCAUUGGGUUCAGAUUUUGAAGUAGCCUAAAGUAUGUUAAUGUGAGAUAACUCAAAGAACUGAAAAGGCGGGAAGUGAAUUCUGAUUUGAAUGCGGGGCUUGUUUUGGGCAUUUGUGUGGUGAUGUCACCGGGCGUGGGUUUAUUUCAAUGAGAAUGGACGUUGACAGAGAGAGAGCCCUUUCCCAGCCCCCGAGAUACCCUGGCACAUGCUCUGCAUGCAAAUAAGCUCCCCGGUAUGACUCUUGCUCAGUAAAACGCUCUGCUCUAUAGACUAAAGGCCCACUUUUCAAACUUCUUAGUACAAAGAGCAGCGGAUGCACACCUUGGAGUUGGAAGUAAUUUAUUCAACAUUUAACAAAUCCUAAAUAUUUGUUAUCCUUUCUCUUCAUUUUUUGACGACAGGUGGAGGGUUCAGUCUGCGGUUCACAUCCUCUGUUAAUUCAAAUGGAGAGGGAGUCGGUUGCUAUCUUUGGUUAUCUAGCUGUAUAAGUGUUAAUCAGCCGUCAUAAAGCUAGAUAACCGAAAGUAGAAAUGACUUCUAAACCUACCUACUUCAAAGCGAACGGAAGAACAGACCAUGGAGAGAAAUGUAAAAAAAAAAAACAUCAUGAAAAUACGGACAGUAAGCAUGCGGUUAUGUGUGCUAUAAAGCAACAGCUAGAGGCUGGACCCAGUAAUUGUCCGAAACCAUUCCUCAUCAGUCCAAACAUAUCAUCUGAAGCCUGAAGUUCCAUUGCAAAGGAUAUGGCAGAACAGGUAAGCCAAUGGGGAGAGCAAAUCCUUCUUACAUACAAAGAGCCAAAGGAAAGACUUUGAAUUUAAAAACCACACCCUACAGGGAUCUGAUCUGCAUACCGCCUAUAUUAUGGGUUUCUGGGGACCAAAAGAAAAAGUAAAUACAAAAUCAAAUUGUUUUCUGAUGCAGCGAUGAAAGUCAGGAACCUGACAAUGCUGCAGUCUUGAUUAGAGAGGCCCUGUGACUGUAUGCCCCCUCCCUCCCAUUCUGCACUGCUUUGCUGCAGUGCCCUGCCUUCCCCAGGUCUAAGAUGAAGAUGCAUAAAGCCUCAUGACUCGUUGCCGUUAGUGGCAGCGUGACCCAGAUCUGAGCUGGUGCUCCCUGUCGAAGGCAGGUUCGCUUGGCUUCUGCACCCCACUGUGUGCAGGAGCACCCGGAAACAGCACAGAGGAGGAGGAGGAAGGUUCAGCAUCUGCCUUAGUCAUUUCUAUGCUGCGCAGAACUUAGCCUGUUUACAAAGAUGUCUCCCCGUUCUGUCUCGUUCACGUUUCUGCUUUGUUUUUGGGCACCCCCCCCCCACCCUAACCUCCCGCCUUCCCCCAAUAUCCAGAACCACAUAACCCCCUGGGUUUCACAGAGGCCUGCUACUGUAUUUAUAAGAAUAUAAUUUGAAUCAACCCUGUAACCACAUCCAAUAUCACAUACAUUAGGAAAACCUGUCUAAUACUAAAUGAAGACUUCAUUUCUAAAAUUAUUUAGUAGUUCUAUGUUAUAUAUGCAUUAUGUUGCAUUACUUUCUUUGUUAUCAUUUUGUGGAAAGCUAAGGGGUCUGGAAAACGGUAUGGCAGAGGGAUUUUUCAGCCAAGACUGACUCUUGCAUUUAUUUUAAAAGCCUUUUCCACUUUAGGAUUGAACACCGGUCACUCGUCUGUGUUGAAAACUCCAAUAACCUGCAUGUGAUGCUGACAAAGCUCAGGAAAUUUGUUGAGCCAUCAUGUUGUUUGUACAGCAGUUAUAGUGAAAAAUAUGUCUGAUAUGAAAUUAAUCUAUUUUCCAAUGUAUUUGAAUUCAAGUUCUGAAGUCAUGGUAUGCCAAUCUUUUAUUCUCUGUAAUAUUUAGAACAGGUCUCAGAACAGGUGAAUUGACUGUGCGCGCAUGUAAUUAAAGGGAACAGAAGGCUUUCAUCAAUCUUAAUACUUUAACACUAGUGAUGAGUGAAAAUAAAACAAGAAAAAUCAAUAACCUUUUUCUUUUUUGCAGCAUUGCAGUGGAGAAAUAAUAUAUAAUAUGCAGAGUCUAUUAUAAUUAAAAUAUUAUUAUUAUAAUUAUUAUCCUUUACAUUUGCAAUUAUAAAUGAGAAUUUUUGUAAGAAUUGAAAAUAUAAAACAUAGUGAAUUAUAUCAAAUGUAGAAAAAUUAAUAUACUAGUUUAAAUUCUGUACUAUACUGUACUAUCCACUCCUUUGAGUCAAAAAGCAGUUAUUCUUUGUCAGCAUGAAUUGCAAAAAUGGCAACUUUGCCCAGCCAGUAAGAGCAGCAUAAGGACAAUGCUUCUAACAACGAAUCAGGCUUGUGGAGCAGUUGUUUCCUUGUUAUAUUUACCUUCUUCUAACACACUGCAUAGCUUAGGCACACAGAUAAUACGCACUUGUUUUGUAAUUGCAAUGUAUACAACUCAAGUGGAUGCACACCCACACAAGGUACCAGUCUGCACCUGUCUAUGUGCAAAGUACAAAGCCACAUAUGUGCUAUUGCUAGACUGAAAUCACCAAAGCCUGUUCUAAUAUCACACAAUCCAUUAAGAUUACAAUCAAAAGCUUUAUCCUGCAAACAACCGUGGGACUAGUAGCUCACAGUGCAGUAACUUCUUGGAGAAUACAAAGGAAUUACAGUUAUUCCAUCCCUGUGUUGUUUUCUUCUAAAGAAACAGAUUAUACAGUAGUUGCCAUGGCAUCGGCUUGGCAGUAAUAAAAGGGGACUGUUUUUAGAGCUUUAUUUUCUUGUUUCCCCACAGCGACUGGCCGUUAUUCCUACCGUGCCUUGAUGGGAGGAGGGGAGGGGUGGGGGGGGGGGGAAAUGGCGCAGUCGUCAAAAAGAAAGGAGGAAAAAGAAUGGCCAACCCCUAUUCCCCUUUCCCUCCCCCCUCACCCACCCCUGGGAGCCUUUAGUGCCAUCUGUGCCCCCUGAGAAACCAGAAAAAGCAAGACACUUCCACCCAGUGCCAACGGGGACAAAGAGGCUGCCAGUCGCCGGGGCCUCCGCCCCUGCCAGAUGCCAGAGAACUGUACGACAGCGCGUGUGUGUGCGCUGAGGAAGCCAUCUUGAUGGGAAAUCUUGCUUGCUGCUCCUAAAAUGGCUGUGUUGGCACGAGGUCUUGGAAUGGCGGUGAAGAUGUCAGCGUCCUCCAGGGGAGUGAGGAGCCAUCCCCUGACGCAGGCCAUCCUGUGCCACCUCAGGAAAAUGUGUGCCAACAUGAAUAUCAUUACCACCAAGCAGCAGAGGGCACGUGUGAAUUGGCUGUGGUGAUUUGUUGUUUUGCCGGCAAGAAGCAUCUUCCAACGUGGACUUGGAGAACCCCAAUGGACAGUGUUUUGAAUCACAAGAGUGGAAAAUCCACCGUGUGAAAUGACAUACUUCUAAAGUUCUGACCAUCUUCACCAGCUCCAUGGAUCCAGGGGGGCAGAAAUUGUUUGAAAUAUAUGUUGCACAAAGUUUAAUUCUAUCUGUGUCUUGUUUUAGAAGACAUGCAAAGUCUCUAAUGUGAAAAUGUUAUGAAGCCAGUGCAGCCUUAAUGGCAACCACAAAGAAAUAUUGGGGUGGAGGAAUGUGUUACUGCUACAUUUACAUUUGUGUGUUUAACUUUCAUUUGUUUUUUAUUGCUAAAUGCAUCAUUAUAUUUAUGUCCAAUGGAAAUAGACGGUUUGAAAGAUCUGUCAGCAGCAUUUGCACAUAGUAAAACUUGAAUUAUUUUUGUGUUUAUUGCAGUAUAUAUAACCUUUGGGUGUAAACACAAAUGUGUUAGCAAUGUGUCAUCUGUCUUGGAUCUCAAUGAUUAGCACACCUGUCUGUUUAAGCUAAAUAUGCAACAUAAAUCAAGCAGGCAGCUUGCAUGUAUGUAUGAGGAAUGCUUUGUUAAAUGCACUAUAUUGAAAAAAUGGGGUGUUUGUGGAUAUAUGAGGAGAUGAUAUGAAAGCACAUGACACGUGCUUCUGCAUUUGGUUUCGUUUGUUCUGAGGAUCCUCACAUGCUUUGUGGUGGUCAGUGAAGGACCGGAACAAGGAACAAAAAGUGCCUUAAUGUGUGAGGUGUUUACACUGAAACUUGUAACUUUGAUAUCUUUGAUAGAAUUCUGUUUGCUUCUGAAAAUUGAGCUGGCUGCUUUCUACAAAUAAAUAUGUGCAAUUCUU